rnacentral:rRNA from 2 species
GCGGCGGACGGGUUAGUAACGCGUGGGAACAUACCCAAUGGUACGGAAUAGCCUCGGGAAACUGAGAGUAAUACCGUAUGUGCCCUUCGGGGGAAAGAUUUAUCGCCAUUGGAUUGGCCCGCGUUAGAUUAGAUAGUUGGUGGGGUAAUGGCCUACCAAGUCUACGAUCUAUAGCUGGUUUUAGAGGAUGAUCAGCAACACUGGGACUGAGACACGGCCCAGACUCCUACGGGAGGCAGCAGUGGGGAAUCUUAGACAAUGGGCGCAAGCCUGAUCUAGCCAUGCCGCGUGUGUGAUGAAGGCCUUAGGGUCGUAAAGCACUUUCGCCAGAGAUGAUAAUGACAGUAUCUGGUAAAGAAACCCCGGCUAACUCCGUGCCAGCAGCCGCGGUAAUACGGAGGGGGUUAGCGUUGUUCGGAAUUACUGGGCGUAAAGCGUACGUAGGCGGAUCAGAAAGUAUGGGGUGAAAUCCCAGGGCUCAACCCUGGAACUGCCUCAUAAACUCCUGGUCUUGAGUUCGAGAGAGGUGAGUGGAAUUCCAAGUGUAGAGGUGAAAU